AACGAACGCUGGCGGCAUGCCUAACACAUGCAAGUCGAACGAGAUCUUCGGGUCUAGUGGCGCACGGGUGCGUAACGCGUGGGAAUCUGCCCUUUGGUUCGGAAUAACAGUUGGAAACGACUGCUAAUACCGGAUGAUGACGAAAGUCCAAAGAUUUAUCGCCAGAGGAUGAGCCCGCGUAGGAUUAGCUAGUUGGUGUGGUAAAGGCGCACCAAGGCGACGAUCCUUAGCUGGUCUGAGAGGAUGAUCAGCCACACUGGGACUGAGACACGGCCCAGACUCCUACGGGGGCCAGCGGUGGGGAAUUUGGGACAAGGGGCGAAACUCUGUUCAAGCAAGCCCGGGUGGGUGAUGAAGGCUUUAGGGUUGAAAACCUCUUUUCCCCGGGAUGAUAAUGACAGUACCGGGAGAAUAGGCUCCGGCUAACUCCGUGCCAGCCGCCGCCGUAA
rnacentral:rRNA from 1 species